UACGUAGGGUGCGAGCGUUGUCCGGAAUUAUUGGGCGUAAAGAGCUUGUAGGCGGUCUGUCGCGUCUGCUGUGAAAAUCCGGGGCUCAACCCCGGACGUGCAGUGGGUACGGGCAGACUAGAGUGUGGUAGGGGAGACUGGAAUUCCUGGUGUAGCGGUGAAAUGCGCAGAUAUCAGGAGGAACACCGAUGGCGAAGGCAGGUCGCUGGGCCACUACUGACGCUGAGAAGCGAAGGCAUGGGGAGCGAACAGG
rnacentral:rRNA from 1 species